GGCGGCGUGCUUUAAGCAUGCAAGUCGAACGCAUCCCCGCAAGGGGGUGAGUGGCAGACGGCUGAGGAGAACGGAAGGAACCUACCCACCCGAGGGGGAUAACUCCGCGAAAGCGGGGCUAAGACCGCGUACGCUCGUCGGCGGAGGGGCCGAUGAGGAAAACCGCAAGGUGCGGGUGGAGGGGCUUCCGGCCCAUCAGGUAGUUGGUGUGGUAAGAGCGCACCAAGCCGAUGACGGGUUGCUGGUCUGAGAGGAUGACCAGCCAGACUGGGACUGAGACACGGCCCAGACUCCUACGGGAGGCAGCAGCUAGGAAUCUUGCACAAUGGGCGCAAGCCUGAUGCAGCGACGCCGCGUGGGGGACGACGGUCUUCGGAUUGUAAACCCCUUUUGGGUGGGAAGAGGAAGGACGGUACCACCCGAAGAAGCCCCGGCUAACUACGUGCCAGCAGCCGCGGUAAUACGUAGGGGGCGAGCGUUGUCCGGAUUUACUGGGCGUAAAGAGCGC
rnacentral:rRNA from 1 species